rnacentral:rRNA from 1 species
AGACCCGAAACCCGGUGAUCUAGCCAUGGGCAGGUUGAAGGUUGGGUAACACUAACUGGAGGACCGAACCGACUAAUGUUGAAAAAUUAGCGGAUGACCUGUGGCUGGGGGUGAAAGGCCAAUCAAACCGGGAGAUAGCUGGUUCUCCCCGAAAGCUAUUUAGGUAGCGCCUCGUGAAUUCAUCUCCGGGGGUAGAGCACUGUUUCGGCUAGGGGGCCAUCCCGGCUUACCAACCCGAUGCAAACUGCGAAUACCGGAGAAUGUUAUCACGGGAGACACACGGCGGGUGCUAACGUCCGUCGUGAAGAGGGAAACAACCCAGACCGCCAGCUAAGGUCCCAAAGUCAUGGUUAAGUGGGAAACGAUGUGGGAAGGCCCAGACAGCCAGGAUGUUGGCUUAGAAGCAGCCAUCAUUUAAAGAAAGCGUAAUAGCUCACUGGUCGAGUCGGCCUGCGCGGAAGAUGUAACGGGGCUAAACCAUGCACCGAAGCUGCGGCAGCGAACGUAUCACCCAAGACAACUUUACGGAGUUGACGAUUGACGGAGCGAAGCGACGUCAAAGCGUUCAUUAAAGUCGAGUUGGCUUAGGGAUACGUUCGUUGGGUAGGGGAGCGUUCUGUAAGCCUGUGAAGGUGGCCUGUGAGGGUUGCUGGAGGUAUCAGAAGUGCGAAUGCUGACAUAAGUAACGAUAAAGCGGGUGAAAAGCCCGCUCGCCGGAAGACCAAGGGUUCCUGUCCAACGUUAAUCGGGGCAGGGUGAGUCGACCCCUAAGGCGAGGCCGAAAGGCGUAGUCGAUGGGAAACGGGUUAAUAUUCCCGUACUUGGUGUUACUGCGAAGGGGGGACGGAGAAGGCUAUGUUGGCCGGGCGACGGUUGUCCCGGUUUAAGCGUGUAGGUGUGUGUUCC